CCGCGCAGUGCCUCGUCCUCGA
rnacentral:miRNA from 1 species